rnacentral:snRNA from 1 species
GUGCUCGCUUCGGCAGCACGUAUACUAAAAUUGGAACGAUACAGAGAAGAUCAGCAUGGCCCCUGCGCAAGGAUGACACGCAAAUUCGUGAAGCCUUCCAUAUUUUU